rnacentral:rRNA from 1 species
ACGCUCGACACCUACGGGAGGCAGCAGUGGGGAAUAUUGCACAAUGGGGGGAACCCUGAUGCAGCGACGCCGCGUGAGGGAAGAAGGUUUUCGGAUUGUAAACCUCUGUCCUUGGUGACGAUAAUGACGGUAGCCAAGGAGGAAGCCACGGCUAACUACGUGCCAACAGCCGCGGUAAUCUGAGCGGGCUGGCAAGGC